rnacentral:lncRNA from 1 species
CUGAAAAGUGCAAUAUUCGGGUGGGAGUGACCCGAUUUUCCAAGUGCGUCCGUCACCCCUUUCUUUGACUCGGAAAGGGAACUCCCUGACCCCUUGCCCUUCCCAGGUGAGGCAAUGCCUUGCCCUGCUUCGGCUCGCGCACGGUGCGCGCACCCACUGGCCUGCGCCCACUGUCUGGCACUCCCUAGUGAGAUGAACCUGGUACCUCAGAUGGAAAUGCAGAAAUCACCCGUCUUCUGCGUCGCUCACGCUGGGAGCUGUAGACCGGAGCUGUUCCUAUUCGGCCAUCUUGGCUCCUCCCGAUCUCCUGACCUCAGACCAUAGAUCCUAAGUGUGCAGUAGGCUUUCGCGUCUAGGUUUGUGGUCUCACCCUGUCAUCCAGGCUGGAGUACAAAUGACUGGAUCACCAUUUACUGCAGUCUCGACCUCCUGGAUGCAAACAUUUCUCCCACCUCAGCCUCCCAAGUAGCUAGGACUACUAGAGCUUGCCACUACACCCAGCUAAUAUUUUGUAUUUUUUGUAGAGAGAGGGUUUUGCUAUGUUUGCCAAGCUGGUCUCGAACUCCUAGGCUCAAGCGAUCUGUCGGCCUCGGCAUCCCAAAGUGCUGGGAUUACAAGCAUGAGCUGCAGAGUUUUCCAAUCUACUUUAAGACCAGCUUAUUAUCAACCUUACUUCAUUGUACAAUCUCUAUUUUUCUUUGCCAUGUAACCUGACAUAUUCACAGAUUCCAUAAAUUAGAACACAGACAUCUUUGAGAGACAAAUAUUCUGCCUAC